ACUGCUCAGUAACACGUGGCUAAUCUGCCCUUGGGACCGGAACACCCCCGGGAAACUGGGGCUAAUUCUUGAUAGGUGAAGAACUCUGGAAUGAGUCUUUGCCGAAAAGUUGUCAGGGUUAUGCUCUCUGAUAACGCCCAAGGAUGAGGCCGCGACCGAUCAGGUUGUUGGUGAGGUAAUGGCUCACCAAGCCUUUUACCGGUGCGGGCCGUGAGAGCGGGAGCCCGGAGAUGGGCACUGAGACAAGGGCCCAGGCCCUACGGGGCGCAGCAGUCGCGAAAACUUUGCAAUACACGAAAGUGUGACAGGGCUAUCCCGAGUGCCAUCCGCUGAGGAAGGCUUUUACCCAGUCUAGAACGCUGGGGGAAUAAGGAGAGGGCAAGUCUGGUGUCAGCCGCCGCGGUAAUACCAGCUCUCCGAGUGGUGUGGAUGUUUAUUGGGCCUAAAGCAUCCGUAGCUGGCUAAGUUAGUCCCUUGUUAAAUCCACCGAAUUAAUCGUUGGAUUGCGGGGGAUACUGCUUGGCUAGGGGACGAGAGAGGCAGACGGUAUUUCCGGGGUAGGGGUGAAAUCCUAUAAUCCCGGGAAGAUCACCAGUGGCGAAGGCUGUCUGCUAGAACGCGCCCGACGGUGAGGGAUGAAAGCUGGGGGAGCGAACCGGAUUAGAUACCCGGGUAGUCCCAGCUGUAAACGAUGCAAGCUAAUGUUUGGACGGCCACGUGCCGUUCUAGUGCCGCAGGGAAGCUGUUAAGCCUGCCGCCUGGGGAGUACGAUCGCAAGAUUGAAACUUAAAGGAAUUGGCGGGGGAGCA
rnacentral:rRNA from 1 species